rnacentral:misc_RNA from 1 species
CCAAUAGCGUAUAUUAAAGUUGUUGCAGUUAAAAAGCUCGUAGUUGAAUUUCGGAAUUCUUUUAUCGGUUGAAUCAACAGGUUCGUACUGAUUUUAAGAAUUUCUACCUUCUGGAGAACCUUAAUGUCAUUUAUUUGGUGUUUUGGGGAACCAGGACUGUUACCUUGAAAAAAUUAGAGUGUUUAAAGUAGGCUUAUGUCUGAAUAUAUUAGCAUGGAAUAAUGAAAUAGGACGGCAUGGUUCUAUUUUGUUGGUUUCUAGGAUCACCGUAAUGAUUAAUAGGGAUAGUUGGGGGCAUUAGUAUUCAAUUGUCAGAGGUGAAAUUCUUGGAUUUAUUGAAGACUAAAUUCUGCGAAAGCAUUUGCCAAGGAUGUUUUCAUUAAUCAAGAACGAAAGUUAGGGGAUCGAAGACGAUCAGAUACCGUCGUAGUCUUAACCAUAAACUAUGCCGACUAGGAAUCGGACGAAGUUAAUUUUUUAAUGACUCGUUCGGCGCCUUACG